AUGUUUGAGGCGUGUUUGAAGCAUAUAUGUGCCGUGUAUGAGGCAUGUUUGAGGCGUGUUUGAGGCGUGUUUGAGGCGUAUAUGUGGCGUGUUUGAGGCGUGUGGAUCUGUGCGUGUCUUCAGUCUGUGAUGUUUCAUGAAGUCGGACCGAGAAUCAUUUUUAAACUUACAUUCCAGCUUUCCGAGGACGGGGGGAGAACCAGAGGAGAACCAGGGGAACGUUGUCUCUGGUUCCACCCUAACGGGUCUCCCCCUUCCUGUCUGCGGACCAUCAUGACCGUUAAGAAGUUUUUGGCUUGCACUUUAUUAAUUUUAUUGUUAUUAUUUUGUUUAUUGUGUUUUAAGGAGAAAAAAUGAAAUCUUUUCAUGUUUUUGUGAAAGUUCUGCCUGAAACGGGCCGAGCAUGCUGGCCGGGUUCUGAUCCGUGUUAAUAAGGCAGCAAUAACGUUCUCACGUGUGAAACAGUCCGGUGGUCCGGCAUGAUUCUGGACUGAAUCGGCACUUAUUUAAGUUUUUACUCUGUAAAAAAAUGAACGCAGACCAGCCAAAACAUUAUGACCACUGCCAGAUUAAAGCCAAACUGUCCUGGUGACUCGGACCGGGCCAGAACAUCUCCAUAGCUGCAGUUCUGUGGGAGGCCAGGAGCUUCGACUUGUGGUCCAAAGAAGGAGAACCAGACAACCAGGGUCCAUGUGAAGAUUGGCCCGGUUCUGGUUAAACAGAGCGAUACUGUAAGCAUUCCUGCUGGUUCUGGUUCUAAUGGGAAGAUGCCGGAGCAGAUGUGGGUCGUUUCGUACCUGGACCCAGGAAGCAGAAACCCGGAUCCCGGUGCUGCUCCUGUGGUGACUGAUCACAUGGUUCCUUUAGAUUCAUCCAUUAGUUUUUCCACUUUUCAUCAGAUUCCUCCUGUAAAGGCGUUUAAUGAUCAGCUGCAGCGAGAUGUUCUGGUCGGAUCCGUGAAUUCUGGUUCUGGCCCAGUUUCCACCACCAAAGACCUGCAGUGAGCUGAUGGCCGACCUGCUGGAUCACCUGCAGCUUCAUCGUGGAUCCAGCGGGCGAGCCGGAACCACAGGUCCGUCAACUGGUUCUGACGUCAGUGACCCAAACGGACCCUAAGAGGAGGAGGUGUGGGGCGGGUGGAGGAAUCCUUGUUUAGUCAAGUUUCUGCUCGAUUGGGUCCGUGAAGGUUCUGCCAGCGAUGGGCCGGAACCACGGCGGAGCUGCAGAGGUCCGGAGGAGGCGAUGACGACACAGAUCAGGCAGAAAUUCAGGAACAUUGAAUUUAUGGUUUAUGGUCAUAAUGUUCCGGCUCCUCUGCUCUACUUCCUGUUGUGACGUCUCUGUGCUUCAUAUUAAAAAAAAAAAAAGGUUCA